rnacentral:rRNA from 1 species
GCCCAACAAGCCUGUAAUCGGUACGGGUUGUGGGAGCAAGAGCCCGGAGAUGGAUUCUGAGACACGAAUCCAGGCCCUACGGGGCGCAGCAGGCGCGAAAACUUUACAAUGCGGGAAACCGUGAUAAGGGAACUCCGAGUGCCCGUAAAAUCGGGCUGUCCAUCUGUUUAAAUAACAGGUGAAGAAAGGGCCGGGCAAGACCGGUGCCAGCCGCCGCGGUAAUACCGGCGGCUCGAGUGGUGGCCACUAUUACUGGGCUUAAAGCGUUCGUAGCUGGUCUGUUAAGUCUCUGGGGAAAUCUACUGGCUUAACCAAUAGGCGUCUCAGGGAUACUGGCAGACUAGGGACCGGGAGAGGUGAGAGGUACUCCAGGGGUAGGAGUGAAAUCCUGUAAUCCUCGGGGGACCACCUGUGGCGAAGGCGUCUCACCAGAACGGCUCCGACAGUGAGGGACGAAAGCUGGGGGAGCAAACCGGAUUAGAUACCCGGGUAGUCCCAGCCGUAAACGAUGCGCGUUAGGUGUAUCGGUGACCACGAGUCACCGACGUGCCGAAGAGAAAUCGUGAAACGUGCCGCCUGGGAAGUACGGUCGCAAGGCUGAAACUUAAAGGAAUUGGCGGGGGAGCAC